rnacentral:rRNA from 1 species
UACGUAGGGUGCAAGCGUUGUCCGGAAUUAUUGGGCGUAAAGGGCUCGUAGGCGGUCUGUUGCGUCAGGAGUGAAAACUCGGGGCUUAACCCCGAGCCUGCUUCUGAUACGGGCAGACUAGAGGUAUGCAGGGGAGAACGGAAUUCCUGGUGUAGCGGUGAAAUGCGCAGAUAUCAGGAAGAACACCCGUGGCUAAGGCGGUUCUCUAGUACGGUACUGACGCUGAGACGCGAAAGCGUGGGGAGCGAACAGG